CACGUAGGGUGCGAGCGUUGUCCGGAAUUAUUGGGCGUAAAGAGCUCGUAGGCGGUGUGUCGCGUCGGCCGUGAAAACCUGCAGCUUAACUGUGGGCUUGCGGUCGAUACGGGCAUCACUGGAGUUCGGCAGGGGAGACUGGAAUUCCUGGUGUAGCGGUGAAAUGCGCAGAUAUCAGGAGGAACACCGGUGGCGAAGGCGGGUCUCUGGGCCGAGACUGACGCUGAGGAGCGAAAGCGUGGGGAGCGAACAGG
rnacentral:rRNA from 1 species